UUACGGCCACAUCACAUUAAAACACCGGUUCCGGAACGAUCACCGAAGUUAAGCAGCGUCGAGCCUGGUCAGCAUAUAGAUGGGUAACCGCUUGGGAAUACUAGGAGCUGUAAG